rnacentral:miRNA from 8 species
CAGGUGAGGUCCUUGGGAACA